rnacentral:piRNA from 1 species
GAACAUCAUACGGAUGUCUGCCACGAAA